rnacentral:tRNA from 5 species
CGGAAGUAGCUCAGUGGUAGAGCAUCACCUUGCCAAGGUGGGGGUCGCGAGUUCGAAUCUCGUUUUCCG